UACAGAGGUCUCAAGCGUUGUUCGGAUUCAUUGGGCGUAAAGAGCGUGUAGGCGGUUAUACAGGUCCGCUGUGAAAACUGGAGGCUUAACCUCCAGACGUCGGUGGAAACCGUAUAACUAGAGUCCGGAAGAGGAGAGUGGAAUUCCUGGUGUAGCGGUGAAAUGCGCAGAUAUCAGGAAGAACACCCGUGGCGAAGGCGGCUCUCUGGGACGGUACUGACGCUGAGACGCGAAAGCGUGGGGAGCGAACAGG
rnacentral:rRNA from 1 species